GUGUGUGUGUGUGUGUGUGUGCGAGUGUGUGUGCGAGUGUGUGUGCGAGUGUGUGUGCGUGUAUGGGUAGAGGGAGUCAGGUGGCUGAGCGGUUAGGGAAUCGGGCUAGUAAUCAGAAGGUUGCUGGUUAGAUUCCCCAGCCGUGACAAAUGAUGGUGUGUCCUUGGGCAAGGCACUUCACCCUACUUGCCUCGGGGGAAUGUCCCUGUACUUAC